UUUAAAUCAUCAAUCACGAAAGAGAACACAUGUAGUUGAUAAAUUCUUUUCUACAACAAUCUAUGAAGAACAAAUUUUAUAGUUUGCAAUUUCUAUAUCAUUACUUCUGCACGAAAAUUUCUUAAUGACCAAAACUGUACUUGAACUACAAAUGAAACACACCAAAAUAGGAUAGAAAAGAGAGAGAGGGGAGAGAUACUAACAGAAAGCAAAGUUUGAACAGCAUAUCUAAACUCCUCUCUUGCCUACCUCCCUAAGGCCCCAUAUUUAAAACUCGAUAGAAACCAAAUACUGGUUAUGGUGAGAAUCGAUAAAAGCCAAAGAAGCAGAAGCUUUAUACUCCAUUUCUUGACAAAGUUAGGCCCAUGCAAAGAAUCCUUUUGUUUCUGCAACUUUAAAUUUGAUGGUAUGUGUCAUUUAUGCUAGAACGUUCAGAAUUCAUAGACAACCUGUGAAACUUCACAAAAGGCCUUGAAAUGUUCACAAAUCCCAAUUCCAACAGCACCAUUCAUCAAAAUCACCCCUCCAAGAAAACUCCACUAAUGAUGAAAAUUCAAUUUGAGAGCCUUCAAAUUGCUAAAAACCCCACCUCAUAUAACUCAUAAUAAAUCAUUGCUUUGCAAACAAAAGCCACUUAGAAACCACAAGGAAUAAUCCAAAAUUAUAUAAAAACAACUCUAAUUUUGCAGCAACCCAAGAAAACAAGUGGUCCACCCCCUCUAAUCUCUCCUUAAUAUUACCUAAUCAAGAAAUUAAACCGUAAUGUAAGGAGGGAGUAAU
rnacentral:lncRNA from 1 species